UACGAAGGGGGCUAGCGUUGUUCGGAAUUACUGGGCGUAAAGCGCGCGCAGGCGGUUCUUCAAGUCCGUGGUGAAAGCCCGGAGCUCAACUCCGGAACUGCCAUUGAAACUGUGGAACUUGAGGAUGAGAGAGGUGAGUGGAAUUCCCAGUGUAGAGGUGAAAUUCGUAGAUAUUGGGAAGAACACCGGUGGCGAAAGCGGCUCACUGGACCAUUACUGACGCUGAGGCACGAAAGCUAGGGGAGCAAACAGG
rnacentral:rRNA from 1 species